CGAAUGCUUUUGAGGAAAAAAUUGAAUCCCCGCCGUUGAAUGAGAAACCUAGCAAAACCCUAUAUAUCUAAAAUUUUAUUGGUUUCCUUCUGCCUCCUAUUUAUCACUAGCAAAAACUCUAAAAAUCCUCUUCGGUCGCCGGAUCCGACUCUCCACAGUCCCCUGAGAGAUGGGUGAGGAAGUUAAGGCUGUGAUUCCAGAGUCACUCUUGAAGAGGAGGAAGAGGAAUGAAGAAUGGGAGCUUGCCAAAAAACAGGAGCUUGAAGCUGCCAAGAAGAAAAAAGUGGAGAACCGCAAGCUUAUUUACACUAGGGCUAAGCAAUAUGCAAAGGAGUACGAGGCUCAGAAUGGGAGCUUAAAGCUGCAAAAAAGAAGAGAGUUGAGAAUCGCAAGCUGAUUUAUACUAGAGCUAAGCAAUAUGCAAAGGAGUACGAGGCUAAGGAAGAAGAGUUGAUUUGAAGCGGGAGGGGAGGCGAAGUUGAAGGGAGGAUUCUAUGUCGAUCCAGAAGCUAAGCUUUUGUUUAUCAUUCGAAUCUGUGGGAAGUAUUUGGCAUCGGGAUGUUAAGAUGUAGAGAAGGUAAGUUUGUUUUGGCAUAAAUUAAGGUAAAUAUGUUAAAUAUUAGUGUGGGUGAUAAUUUCCAAUAUUAUAUCAAUCAUUUUAUAGUAUACUACUAUUUCAGUAGAUUUAUAUCUGCAUUAUCCAGCUC